rnacentral:rRNA from 1 species
UACGGAGGGGGCCAGCGUUGUUCGGAAUCAUUGGGCGUAAAGGGCGCGUAGGCGGCUUGGUAAGUCCGUUGUGAAAUCCCUCGGCUCAACCGAGGAACUGCGACGGAUACUGCUCGGCUUGAGUCCCGGAGAGGGUAGCGGAAUUCCCAGUGUAGCGGUGAAAUGCGUAGAUAUUGGGAGGAACAUCGGUGGCGAAGGCGGCUACCUGGACGGGUACUGACGCUGAUGCGCGAAAGCUAGGGGAGCAAACAGG